GACAAUGGGCGCAANCCUGAUCUAGCCAUGCCGCGUGAGUGAAGAAGGUCUUAGGAUCGUAAAGCUCUUUCGCCUGUGAAGAUAAUGACGGUAGCAGGNAAAGAAACCCCGGCUAACUCCGUGCCAGCAGCCGCGGUAAUACGGAGGGGGUUAGCGUUGUUCGGAAUUACUGGGCGUAAAGCGCGCGUAGGCGGACNUUUAAGUCAGGGGUGAAAUCCCGGGGCUCAACCCCGGAACUGCCNUUGAUACUGGGNGUCUNGAGUUCGAGAGAGGUGAGUGGAANUCCGAGUGUAGAGGUGAAAUUCGUAGAUAUUCGGANGAACACCAGUGGCGAAGGCGGCUCACUGGCUCGAUACUGACGCUGAGGUGCGAAAGUGUGGGGAGCAAACAGGAUUAGAUACCCUGGUAGUCCACACCGUAAACGAUGAAUGCCAGUCGUCNGGNAGCAUGCCCUUCGGUGACACACUUAACGGAUUAAGCAUUCCGCCUGGGGAGUACGGUCGC
rnacentral:rRNA from 1 species